CCAGGCGGGAGGGACCGGCAGGAGAAGGGCAGCCUCCCCUUUCGGUCCUGCCCAGUAUUAGGUUCCCAGAACGCUCUGGAAGAGACAGAGAGGGAGAGGUGGAAAUAGAGCCAAGGGAAGGGAAGAACUCCGUGCGAUUUUCCUCAUCUGAAAACCGCAUGAAGAUGAAAUCGGGGUCCUGGCGCUGGUGAAGUGAGUAAGCAGCCCCUGUUCCUUUUGGCACUUGAACAUCUCUCCCUGGGUUUUCUGUGGAUUCCAAGGAUGCAACUGGUGAAUGCUUUCACCACCGGUGCCACCGCCCCCCCACACCCCAUCAGGCAGGCCCCACAUUUGGGGGCCCCAUCCCAACAGGUGACACCACAACAACUACAGUUGAGAGUGUCACACACCUCGGGGCACUUCAGCCAGGGAACUUCCUUGUUCGGACCAUUAAGAAGAAUCAAGAUUUUGGGGUACC